rnacentral:tRNA from 1 species
UGCCCCGAACCAGAAUCGAACUAGUAACCUUUAAAUCUUAAGUCUAACGCUCUCCCAACUGAGCUACCAAGAU